CGUGACCUGAAUUCGUCCUCACACGAGCUCUUCCGUGGCCGAGCGCUAUCGCAUGGCUAGCAGACUUGCGUGUCAGGUCCUCCGACGUCAUGGUCGUCACUGAGGCGCUCACGUGGUCUGCUCCGCCGCCGUUACUCCCCUCCUGGACGGUGGCCCUUGACCCGGCCGUCUGGUUCGCCUUGUGGGCGUACCACCACGACCACCAAUGCUCGCGGCUGCUCUGGAUCAGGGGCACUGCGUUGCCUCCGGGCCGCCCCGCCGCCACCAACACCUACGACGCCGUCGGCAAGGCGUAGUGCCGAUGAUAGUGGCAGCAUAGAAAUCCAGCAGCAGGAGCGGGGCAUAGCCGUAUGGACGGAGGGAGUCCCGGUUCCUGCGGAACUCAUGUGGUGCACCGUGAGCGGCUAUUCCUCGGGCCAUGCCACAGGGAUACAGCGGGAGCAGCGGUAGGUAAAGACGGCGAGGUGUCGAGCCGCUACCAGGGUCUCCUUUGUGGCCGUCGGCCGUGGCCUGCGUCUGGUCUUCCUCGGCGUGGUGACCGUCACCGAGGCGAUCCAGAUGUUCCCCGCUCCGUCUUCCCCAUUAUAGCUCCUCUCUUGGCCGAUGCCCCGACCCCGCCGGUCUGGUUCAACGCCGCGAGGCCACCACGCUGCUCUGGCUUCUCUCCCACUGACGUGAGGGCGCCACGCCGCCCCGUCUCCACCCCCGUCGCCGCCUGGCUGAAGCGGCGCCCUUACUCCUCCUCACUGGCGGGAUGCCGCAGGUCCUCACCUGCUCCAUCCCACCGGAUUGAGGCCACACCGCUGCAGAAGUUCAUGGGUGGCGCCGCGCUAUCCAUUCAGGCCUGUGUGAGACCUGCACAGCCAGCCCUGCUCCUCGCCAUACUCCGUCCUCACAGCCGGGUCUGAUUAUCUAGAUCUGAUGCAAAUUUGGAAAUUCCCACUCUGGCAGUUGGAUCUAGAUAGCCUGGCAUUAAGCUCGAUAUCAUCAGCGACAUGCGCUUUGAGUUGUUACAGUUCUCGGGUGUGUCCACCCAGUUGUUGACGGCAAAAGGAUUGUCUGUUGGACAUAGAAGAGAAGGUAUCUAAUAUAUGGUUGAUUCAGAAUUAAGAAUUAUCAGGUAUGCUUGAUUUCCCUUCCCUUCAGCACCAAGCUGAGUUUGUUGAGUGUAAUUAUUGUGUAUGUUGAGUGAUUGACCAGCAUUAGUUUGGUCUCAAGUGAGGGCUGCCUCAAGUGAGCUAUGCAGUUAGCUAAUUAGUUUGUGGUGAUGCAGCCACAAGUGAGGCAUGCAAUUACAUAUUAACAUUGAUAAUGUUCAGUCACUCGAGACCAACCAAAAUAGCUAGAUUUGUUUACUUAUGAGCUCUGUAGUCUCCAUUGUGUCUGGGAAAAAUGUUGCUUUAGAUCAUCUGUGGUUUGAUCAUACAAGUACCCAGUUUUCAUGCAUGUACAUGUGCCUAUAUCAUGUGUUUGAUGACAACAAGCAUGGACUCAGCUUGCUGGUGGCAAUACCUUUUUGUCGAGUGUUGCAAAUCUGGAUUGGGUAAGUUGAGCUGAUGACCUUCUGUAUCAAGUUGUUCUGCAAUGGUUGAUAAUAAAAAGAAUCUUCAGAUUUAAUCGAGAGGUAUAUCUUAGGUGAAAAAGAAUCAAACUCUAUCUGAUCAUUGUGAGACUUUACUUAUAUAUUUAUAUUACUAAAUCAUGAAUAUCUUGAUUUCUUCUAAGAAUAGUUUCUCCAUACAUUCCAAGUUAUACCUGGUCAAUAGCCUGUCUUCUACCAGGCAUAUAUGUUGUUACUUGUUUUUGGCACAAGUGUCAUGGCAAGAACCACAAUGGUGAUCAUUCUAAGAAGUAGAAUUAUGGCCAGUUAGAUACAAACUAAUUUUGUACUCAGUUUUAUUUCAGAAGAGUGCAUGUCGCGCUGCUACUCUUUUGCAAGAUACACUUUCCAUUGUUACUCCUUGCCUCCUUGGUAUCACGAAUCGUGGGCCAGCCAACAAAAUCUUUACUCAUUCACUUCUUUGAAAUCGCAAGAUUUUGUUUUCUUAUAUACAGUUAUGAUUUAGUUUGUUUAUGGAUAUUGUGUAGAAGAGAACUUACUAUAUUACCCUUAACUGACAAUAUAUUUUUCCCUUCCAUUUUUCUUACAGAUCUUUUGAAGAUGUGUGUGAAGUUUAGUUACCUCUUGGUCUCAUGAUCUGUCAGGUCCUUUCAAUUAUCAGUAGUGGCGGAGCCACCUCCCGGCAACCCCAGGCUCCGCCCGGGCUCAUCCGGUAAGCGUCUGUUUAGAGCAGUGCUAUUCCUACCUUCAAUGGCAGCAGUUGUUUGGGCAAACUUUCACUAGCGCAGCAUCAGUUAAGGUCUGCCCUGGCUUCCAUGACUGACAAGCUCCGCCACUGAUUUUCAGGUGUUUGCAGACUUCACCAAAGCAGAGAAUCAGAGAGAAAAUGAUGUUUGUUGAAUGUACUAUUGAUUGGCCUUGAAGCUCUGUGGUUAUUUUUUUUUGGUAAGGCUACUAAUAUAAGAGAAAAAACUGUGAGUGACAUUUUCACUAAGUUUCAGAACAAGGCCAUACAACAAGGUAGUAUUUGUAUAGAUUGAAGUUCAGCUAAAUAGGUCCAAUUGGUCCAGUAAUUUCCAUUCUCUAUCCAACAUCUGCUAGCAAGUACUUCGCAGUUAUAGUAUUUCUCUUAUUUCUCUUUGCUAAGAUCGUAUGCUAUUCUUUACUGAAGUGGGAGAAAUGCAGUUCUCAGGUAAACUUUGAUGUUGAAUACACUGCUGUUAUAUUUCAAUAAUAAAUAUGCCAAGAUAUGUAUUUUUGUGUCGCCUCAUUAACAUUACGAUGGCACUAUCAGAUCCAUGCCUCCUCGCACACACGCCGAGACAUUUUCCAAAUACAUACACAGCUUCAAUGUCCAAACUCAUAUUUUGAGCGCCUCUUUCGCUAAAAUCUUCUUGAUUCUGAGCGCUGGUACUAGAAAGCAUAAUCCAAGUUAGUGUGAGUUUACUAUUUCCAAGUAAUUUAAUCCCGUUAAUUCGAGUACUUUGGAUAUCAUGCUGAUGUUACCACAUAGUUCUCAGUUUAGCACAGGAGCUAACCGGACUUGUUCUUAUUUUUGUGUGUAGAAAGAAGCACGUUGCAGAUUAGGAGGUCCCACUCUUUUUUAGGCCAGCGGUGAUUGCAUAGAACUUCCUUUGAGAAACCCGAGCAAACUUCCCUUAGUUUGUGCCUCUUGGUUUUCCUAAUUCUCUUUUGUUCAUUCUGACUUAUAGCUGAACUAGACGACUUGAAUCUGGUCGGAGGUAGAGCAUGAAGGUGAUGGUACAGAAGUUUCACGACCACGAUAAGGUUAAGUCCCAUGCUUAAUUUAGCUUCCUUUUCUUUGUAGCAUGGUCGAGUGUUAUCACAUUACCCACCAAGAUUUGAUCUUUGAGUUUUCUCAUCUUUUGACCAUACAAAGUGCACUUAGAUUCAGGUAAUGUAGAAAGUGCAAAAAGAUUCUGCGGCAAAUUUGUUUUUACCUUGGAUAUGCUAUUUGGGCUGGUCCUUUAGGUGGAUUUUUUUUCCUAAGUACUAAAUCCUUUUGGAAGACAACCUGCUCCAGUUUUGGAGAGGGCAACGACUGGUUCGCCUGCUUUUUUGUCUUAGCAGUUCCCACUACACAAUCACUUAUUAGUCUUUUUUACUGUUGGUAAAACUAAGUGAGUUUCAUGGGAGCAUAUGUUGGUGUUGUUGCAAGUUCUGCUUCCUCUGUCAGACGAAAGAAUUGGAUAGCUCUUGCACAUUCCGCGUUUCUUAAUUUCGGGUGUUUCAAUCUCCACAAUCAGACACAUAUGAUUAUUGUUACAUAAAUAUUAAUGUAUGAUCUUCGAACUGGUAAAGACUGGAUAGUACUUCUGCCCAUUUCUUAUUCUCGAAGUGGAGAAUAUAUACUAUAUAUAUGUAAUAAUAACUCAAAAGAUCACACAUUAGCUUUCUAAUUUCAUAGGCAGUUCCUAAGAAAUAAACAUACAUCUACGGUCAGACCUUCCAAUCUUCAAUAUUGAGCUUCUUUCAAGUGAUUGGUUGUUCAUGUCAACUGAGCUUUUAUGCAAAAUGCAAGUGCAAUAAGUUUAGGCAGCACAUUGAGAACAAGCAAGUGCGUGUGGGGAGGCCUCUGGGGCUAUCCACGAUACGCACCUGCCGCGAGGGUUGGCGAUUGUGAGAGAGAAAGAAAAGUCGAAAGAAAAGGUUGGGCGAGCGACAAAAAAAAGUAAAGUGAUUGGUCACAUGCUUCCUCUCCCUACACGCAACCUUCUCCAUCUCUCACAUCCUAGCUGCGGCGGCGGCGGCUCCCCAUGCCCUCAUCUUCUUCCUCUCGUCCUCUCCGUCCGGUUCUUGGCCGCCUCCACCACUACGGCUUCAUCUACGUCGCCAGCCCGUGGUGGAAGCAGGCGGAGGCAAAUCAACCGCAGAGGCUUGACGGCCAGAGCGAUGGCGGCCGGCGUGGCCCUGGAAGGUCGGGCGAUGUCGCCAUAUCGGCCGUCCCGAAGGCCGGGAUGCGCUGCCACUCAGCUCUCUCCCCCAACAGAUCGAAGGCCGAAGCGGCGGCAGUUUGGACUGAGAACUGCAGGUGCGAGGUGCGGGGUAUUCUCUGCCCACUUCCAAUCAUGCCCCCUUUGCAACUUCUUUAUUUCUUGGGAUUGGACAAUGCACUCUAUGUCUUGAUGAAUUGGUCACUUGCCACGGCUUCAGUUAUAGCAUAAGGAUUUUCCUUGGGAAUAAUGGAGCUAAUUCAAUGACAAGAAAGCAACUAUGAAGUACAUCAGAUAGAUGUUCAAAAAACUAUUCUAAAUGGUUUGGUCAAAAUCAAGGAUCUGGAUCAUCUAGCUAUACUGAAAGGCUAUCUUUGUGAUAUAUAUUUUUUCCUGUUGCUUUCGAAUCAUAGAGGCUUCCUAAUCUUUUUUUGUAUGCAUCAGAGUGAUGAAUCGACUUGACAUCAAUCAUCUUUCGAGUUUUGGGAGGGAGCAAUUUUGGCACUAUAUCCUAACCUUAAGUGGUGCUUAUGAGAAUUUGACUUGAAAAACACACUACCGCAUAUACCAUAUCAGAUAAAGAUGUUACAAAAUAUAAUUUGGUGGACAACUGUCAGUGAGCUUAAGGACGUUGCCUUCUUCGCUCCUUAUGUAUGUGUAUAACUUGGUCCCUUUAUGUUGUCGUCAUGUGUUGAAGCCCAAGAUUCAUUUUUCGCUAUGUGUUUUGCCCUUAUAUUUUCAUGCAUGUUCCUGUCUGCUUUGAUUUGCCAAUUGACACGUGUUCUCAUGACCACCAAUACACCCAACACUGCAAAGAGGGCCUUUUCUCUGAGAGAUAAAAGGAACGCUGGGCUCAAAUGUGUGCUUUGGAGACAAAGAGCUGCUGAAUUCAAUGAUAAUGGCUAGAGCUCUGCUGCUGUUGGGAUCUUUUUUGGUGUCCUUAUAAAAUAUUAUAACAGUGGGUUUGUUUUUUAACAUUUGAUGCAUUGCCUUCUCAAUACAUAUAUCCAGUUCUGGUUUUAGUGAGCACCUGAAGCAAGAUGGUACCUCAAUGAAGACUUGCCUAAUAUUGACUCUUGCUUUGAAAGAUGUGUUCUAGAGGAAGAAGAUGGAGUUCUAUAAUUCUAUAGAAGAAUUGGGCUUAAAUCUUACUGUUCAAACAGCUGAUGCCAUCCAGUUUUUUUUGCAAAGGAUGUUAAUAUUAUCGCAAAACCUUCAGUAUUGAAGCUAGCAAGUUGACAUCAGCAAUCAAUCAAGUUAUCGCUCAACUACCUAACAGUUCAAUAUGAGGUGAAGCUGAUCUCUAUAUAUAUACCUCUUCUGUUUCAAUUGCAGGUCGGGGUAGCAUGUGCCGUUGAGAGGAAGGUGAGAUGCGAAAGGGGAGAGGAGAUGUCAAAGGUUGCAAAGAGAAGAAAUGCUAUCUAGGCACAACUCGGAGGAGAGAGGCAGGCAAAUCACUAGCGGUCUAUUAUUGUUCUGAUUUCCACCUUCUAGAAUGGUCUUUUAGCCAUAGAAAUGCUAAUGUCAAACUUGUUUUCUUAUAAUUUAUGAAUUAUCAACUAUGUGGAGCAUCAAGUUUUGACGUGUUCAGUGUGUGUGUGAUAACAAUUCUCUGAUUAUGGUUAGUUGUGCACAACUUGCACAUAAGCAUUAUUAUUCAACAUUUUUCACUCUAUACAA